GGUCAUGGAAGAGCUCCAUCAGACUAGAGACCAUGCAAUCACGACAGACCUUUGGACAGAGGAGAGGACAAACACACACUACAUCACCGUUACAGUCCAUUACAUCUUGGAUGGGAAGAUGGUGAACCGUAUUCUGGCCACAAGGGAGAUGGAGGGUGUCAAAUCUAAUGAACACAUCAGAGGGACUGUGGAGAAAAUCCUUCAGGAAUUUGGCAUCCUGAGCAAGCACACUGUGUUUGUGACAGAUAAUGGCUCAAACAUGAUCGCUGCUUUCAA